rnacentral:lncRNA from 1 species
ACCAUCAUUAUGGGAGCGGGUCCUGCCUUUUUCAUGUUGGUCUCGACAGUUCUUAACAUGCUCAACAACUCAGUAAGGGGUUUCUCAAUUUCAUUCAUAAGAUAGUUCAUAACAAAUUGAGAGUAGCUGCUGUUCAAAGAUUGCAAAACAAGGUCAGUUUGGGCUUCCGGAGUGAUUGGAAAACCCAAUCUAUCAAGGUACUCAAUAAACCCAAUCAUUUUCAGCACAUGUGGACCAACUGGAUCA